UUAAUCACUCGAGGAGAAUUA
rnacentral:piRNA from 1 species